GUUGUACUUCCUCCGUCCCAAAAUUCUUGUCUUAGAUUUAUCUAGAUACAGAUGUAUCUAACACUAAAACAUAAAUAGAUACGUCCGUAUGUAGACAAAUCUAAGACAAGAAUUUUGAGAUGGAGGGAGUAGUUA
rfam:Triticum aestivum genome assembly, contig: Triticum_aestivum_CS42_TGACv1_scaffold_177440_2DS